rnacentral:rRNA from 1 species
CCUACGGGAGACAGCAGUGAGGAAUAUUGGUCAAUGGACGAGAGUCUGAACCAGCCAAGUAGCGUGAAGGAUGACUGCCCUAUGGGUUGUAAACUUCUUUUAUAAAGGAAUAAAACGAGGCACGUGUGCCUUUUUUCAUGUACUUUAUGAAUAAGGAUCGGCUAACUCCGUGCCAGCAGCCGCGGUAAUACGGAGGAUCCGAGCGUUAUCCGGAUUUAUUGGGUUUAAAGGGAGCGUAGAUGGGUUGUUAAGUCAGUUGUGAAAGUUUGCGGCUCAACCGUAAAAUUGCAAUUGAUACUGGCAGUCUUGAGUACAGUUGAGGUAGGCGGAAUUCGUGGUGUAGCGGUGAAAUGCUUAGAUAUCACGAAGAACCCCGAUUGCGAAGGCAGCUUACUAAACUGUGACUGACAUUGAUGCUCGAAAGUGUAGGUAUCAAACAGGAUUAGAUACCCCAGUAGUC